rnacentral:tRNA from 1 species
UCCCUGGUGGUCCAGUGGCUAAGACUUGGUGCUUUCUAUGCAGGGGGCCCAGGUUCAAUCCCUAGUCAGGGAA